UACGAAGGGUGCAAGCGUUAAUCGGAAUUACUGGGCGUAAAGGGUGCGUAGGUGGUUUGUUAAGUCUGCUGUGAAAUCCCCGGGCUCAACCUGGGAAUGGCAGUGGAUACUGGCAAGCUAGAGUGCGGUAGAGGGUAGUGGAAUUCCCGGUGUAGCAGUGAAAUGCGUAGAGAUCGGGAGGAACACCAGUGGCGAAGGCGGCUACCUGGACCAGCACUGACACUGAAGCACGAAAGCGUGGGGAGCAAACAGG
rnacentral:rRNA from 1 species